AGUCGGUGUACUUAAUGAACGCACACGCACUGGAUUCAGGAGCAAGAGCAGAAGGAAGCCGCAUUAGGACUGCCGGAGCCCAAACUCUUCCUCCUCCCCACGGAGUUAAUGUCAUGGAAAUCAUGCAGUCCGUCCAAAAGAGAAUAUCCUACAUAUUAUGUGAUAAGCCACAGGGGAAACCAAGGAAAUUUGGGGGCUGUUAGAAUCAGAGAUACUAAACAGAAGAGUGUCUGCGCUUCCCUGACCGCACACACCGAAAGUCUCUAAAUCAUGCUGUUCAGUAGUUUCGCCGUCUUCUGCCUCACAGACAGCACUCUGGCCACGAACAGAUGACCUAACAGCACAAGAUUCUUAAAGACACUGACUGAAAAACUUCCCCUUGAAAUAAAACAAAGCAAAAAAUGUGAGGAAAAAACCUCAGCUCUUUUCCAGCCUGCCUAUUAUCAUAAAAGACUCGGUUUGCAGUCUGAAGAAACAUGUUUGAGAUGUUAAGCUGAAUAUUUUUUUUGCUGGAAGUAACAGUUCUCAAUGGAAAAUAGUGAGCAGAAUUACAUACAAUAAUGGGUUCUACGAAUGGCAAGUCAAGUAGCAAUACAGUAUUUCCUGUCUAGGAAAUGGUUUCUUAGUGUGUUGGGUGUGAGAAAGGAACCACGUUUUGCUAUAUACAGGAAUGAUUAACAGUACCUCUAGAAUUCUUUCUAAAACAUAAAUAUAAUUAUGCCAUAAACUGCUUAAAAUGGUUCUGGCCCUCAUUCUAGCUCCCCAGGCAACUGCAAGGCUCGUCCCUGCUUUGCAGAGCUAACUGCAUCCUCUCAAUCUCCCACUCUACAGACCCCUCACUUGCAUUUUUG